UACGAAGGGGGCUAGCGUUGUUCGGAAUUACUGGGCGUAAAGCGCAUGUAGGCGGAUAUGCAAGCAAGGGGUGAAAUCCCGGGGCUUAACCUCGGAAUUGCCUUUUGAACUGCAUAUCUGGAGUUUUGGAGGGGAGUGCGGAAUUCCUAAUGUAGAGGUGAAAUUCGUAGAUAUUAGGAGGAACACCGGUGGCGAAGGCGGCACUCUGGACAAAUACUGACGCUGAGAUGCGAAAGCGUGGGGAGCAAACAGG
rnacentral:rRNA from 1 species